GACGAACGCUGGCGGCGUGCUUAACACAUGCAAGUCGAACGAAGUGGCGAACGGGUGAGUAACGCGUAAUCAACCUGCCCUUAAGAGGGGGAUAACAGUUGGAAACGACUGCUAAUACCGCAUACUGAAGGCGGGGAUUGCGUCUGAUUAGCUAGUUGGAGGGGUAACGGCCCACCAAGGCGAUGAUCAGUAGGCGGUCUGAGAGGAUGAACGGCCCCAUUGGGACGUAGACACGGCCCAGACUCCUACGGGAGGCAGCAGGGGGGAAUCUUCCGAAAUGGAGGAAAGUCGGACGGAGACACGCCGCGUGAGUGAUGACGGCCUUCGGGUUGUAAAGCUAUGUUAAUCGGGACGCGGUACCGGAAUAGAAAGCCACGGCUAACUACGUGCCAGCAGCCGCGGUAAUAC
rnacentral:rRNA from 1 species